rnacentral:rRNA from 1 species
UCAAGUAAUUAAGUGCAUGUGGUGGAUGCCUUGGCAGUCAGAGGCGAUGAAAGACGUGAUAGCCUGCGAAAAGCUCCGGGGAGGCGGCAAAUAUCCUUUGAUCCGGAGAUGUCUGAAUGGGGGAACCCACCUACUUUAAGGUAGGUAUUGCAACAUGAAUACAUAGUGUUGCAAGGCGAACGAGGGGAAGUGAAACAUCUCAGUACCCUUAGGAAAAGAAAUCAAUUGAGAUUCCCUCAGUAGCGGCGAGCGAACGGGGAUCAGCCCAUUAAGUUAUGUGUGUUUUAGUGGAACGCUCUGGGAAGUGCGAACGUAGAGGGUGAUAUUCCCGUACACGAAAGGGCACACAUAAUGAUGACGAGUAGGGCGAGGCACGUGAAACCUUGUCUGAAUAUGGGGGGACCAUCCUCCAAGGCUAAAUACUCCUGACUGACCGAUAGUGAACCAGUACCGUGAGGGAAAGGCGAAAAGAACCCCUGUGAGGGGAGUGAAAUAGAUCCUGAAACCGCAUGCAUACAAGCAGUGGGAGCACCUUCGUGGUGUGACUGCGUACCUUUUGUAUAAUGGGUCAGCGACUUAUAUUCAGUAGCGAGGUUAACCGUAUAGGGGAGCCGUAGAGAAAUCGAGUCUUAAUAGGGCGUUUAGUUGCUGGGUAUAGACCCGAAACCAGGCGAUCUAUCCAUGAGCAGGUUGAAGGUUGGGUAACACUAACUGGAGGACCGAACCCACUGUCGUUGAAAAGCCAGGGGAUGACUUGUGGAUAGGGGUGAAAGGCUAAUCAAGCCUGGUGAUAGCUGGUUCUCCCCGAAAGCUAUUUAGGUAGCGCCUCGGACGAAUACCAUAGGGGGUAGAGCACUGUUUCGGCUAGGGGGUCAUCCCGACUUACCAAACCGAUGCAAACUCCGAAUACCUAUGAGUACUAUCCGGGAGACAGACUGCGGGUGCUAACGUCCGUAGUCAAGAGGAAAACAAUCCAGACCGCCAGCUAAGGCCCCAAAAUCAUAGUUAAGUGGGAAACGAUGUGGGAAGGCAUAGACAGCUAGGAGGUUGGCUUAGAAGCAGCCACCCUUUAAAGAAAGCGUAAUAGCUCACUAGUCGAGUCGGCCUGCGCGGAAGAUGUAACGGGGCUAAAACUAUGUGCCGAAGCUGCGGAUGUAUACUUUGUAUACGUGGUAGGGGAGCGUUCUGUAAGCCGAUGAAGGUGUGUUGAGAAGCAUGCUGGAGGUAUCAGAAGUGCGAAUGCUGACGUGAGUAACGACAAAACGGGUGAAAAACCCGUUCGCCGAAAGACCAAGGGUUCCAGUCCAACGUUAAUCGGGGCUGGGUGAGUCGACCCCUAAGGCGAGGCCGAAAGGCGUAGUCGAUGGGAAAAUGGUUAAUAUUCCAUUACUUCUGUGUAAUGCGAUGAGAGGACGGAGAAGGCUAAAUCAGCCUGGCGUUGGUUGUCCAGGUGAAAGGAUGUAGGCAUGUAUCUUAGGCAAAUCCGGGGUACUCUAUGCUGAGAUCUGAUAGCAAGCUGUACUUGUACAGCGAAGUGGUUGAUGCCAUGCUUCCAGGAAAAGUCUCUAAGCUUCAGUUACACAGGAAUCGUACCCGAAACCGACACAGGUGGUCAGGUCGAGUAGACCAAGGCGCUUGAGAGAACUCUGCUGAAGGAACUAGGCAAAAUGGUACCGUAACUUCGGGAGAAGGUACGCUGUUGUUGGUGAUGGAACUCGCUUCCUGAGCUGACGACAGCCGCAGAAACCAGGCCGCUGCAACUGUUUAUUAAAAACAUAGCACUCUGCAAACACGAAAGUGGACGUAUAGGGUGUGAUGCCUGCCCGGUGCUGGAAGGUUAAUUGAUGGGGUUAGCGUAAGCGAAGCUCUUGAUCGAAGCCCCAGUAAACGGCGGCCGUAACUAUAACGGUCCUAAGGUAGCGAAAUUCCUUGUCGGGUAAGUUCCGACCUGCACGAAUGGCAUAAUGAUGGCGGCGCUGUCUCCAGCAGAGGCUCAGUGAAAUCGAAAUCGCUGUGAAGAUGCAGUGUACCCGCGGCUAGACGGAAAGACCCCGUGAACCUUUACUGCAGCUUGACACUGAACUUUGACCUUACUUGUGUAGGAUAGGUGGGAGGCUUUGAAGCUGGAACGCUAGUUCCAGUGGAGCCGUCCUUGAAAUACCACCCUGGUAAUGUUGAGGUUCUAACUCUGUCCCGUGAUCCGGGACGAGGACCGUGUCUGGUGGGUAGUUUGACUGGGGCGGUCUCCUCCUAAAGAGUAACGGAGGAGUACGAAGGUGCGCUCAGCGUGGUCGGAAAUCACGCGUAGAGUAUAAAGGCAAAAGCGCGCUUAACUGCGAGACCCACAAGUCGAGCAGGUACGAAAGUAGGUCUUAGUGAUCCGGUGGUUCUGUAUGGAAGGGCCAUCGCUCAACGGAUAAAAGGUACUCUGGGGAUAACAGGCUGAUACCGCCCAAGAGUUCAUAUCGACGGCGGUGUUUGGCACCUCGAUGUCGGCUCAUCUCAUCCUGGGGCUGAAGCAGGUCCCAAGGGUAUGGCUGUUCGCCAUUUAAAGAGGUACGCGAGCUGGGUUUAGAACGUCGUGAGACAGUUCGGUCCCUAUCUACCGUGGGCGCUGGAAAUUUGAGAGGAUCUGCUCCUAGUACGAGAGGACCAGAGUGGACGAACCUCUGGUGUACCGGUUGUGACGCCAGUCGCAUCGCCGGGUAGCUAUGUUCGGAAGGGAUAACCGCUGAAAGCAUCUAAGCGGGAAGCCUACCUCAAGAUAAGAUUUCCCUAGGACUUUAUGUCCUCUAAAGAGCCGUUCGAGACUAGGACGUUGAUAGGUUGGAUGUGGAAGCAUAGUGAUAUGUGAAGCUGACCAA